rnacentral:rRNA from 1 species
GAUGAACGCUGGCGGCGUGCCUAAUACAUGCAAGUCGAGCGAAUGGAUUAAGAGCUUGCUCUUAUGAAGUUAGCGGCGGACGGGUGAGUAACACGUGGGUAACCUGCCCAUAAGACUGGGAUAACUCCGGGAAACCGGGGCUAAUACCGGAUAACAUUUUGAACCGCAUGGAUCGAAAUUGAAAGGCGGCUUCGGCUUUCUAUUAUGGAUGGACCCGAGUCGCAUUAGCUAGUUGGUGAGGUAACGGCUCACCAAGGCAACGAUUCGUAGCCGACCUGAGAGGGUGAACGGCCACACUGGGACUGAGACACGGCCCAGACUCCUACGGGAGGCAGCAGUAGGGAAUCUUCCGCAAUGGACGAAAGUCUGACGGAGCAACGCCGCGUGAGUGAUGAAGGCUUUCGGGUCGUAAAACUCUGUUGUUAGGGAAGAACAAGUGCUAGUUGAAUAAGCUGGCACCUUGACGGUACCUAACCAGAAAGCCACGGCUAACUACGUGCCAGCCGCCGCUGUAA